rnacentral:rRNA from 1 species
UGAGUACGAGAUGCUACGGCGUCGAAGCAGUCUAGGUCAUACUUCCAAGAAAAGCUUGCACUGUCAUAAACAAAGAAUGCCUGUACCAUAACCGACACAGGUGGGUAGGUAGAGUAUACUAAGGGGCGCGAGAUAACUCUCUCUAAGGAACUCGGCAAAAUGACUCCGUAACUUCGGGAGAAGGAGUGCCUUAUUUAUAAGGUUGCAAUAACAAGAUCCAAGCAACUGUUUACCAAAAACACAGGUCUCCGCUAAGUCGUAAGACGAUGUAUGGGGGCUGACGCCUGCCCAGUGCCAGAAGGUUAAAGAAGUUGGUUAGCAUUUGCGAAGCUGAUAACUGAAGCCCUGGUGAACGGCGGCCGUAACUAUAACGGUCCUAAGGUAGCGAAAUUCCUUGUCGGGUAAGUUCCGACCCGCACGAAAGGCGUAAUGAUUUGGAUACUGUCUCGGAGAGGGGCUCGGUGAAAUAGACUUGUCUGUGAAGAUGCGGACUACCUGCACCUGGACAGAAAGACCCUAUGAAGCUUUACUGUAACUUGAGAUUGAAAUUGGACUUUAUUUGCGCAGUAUAGGUGGGAGGCGUUGAGAAUAAUCUUGCGGGAUUAUCGGAGCCAUCAGUGAGAUACCACUCUUGUAAUGUUAGAUUUCUAACUUUGUAUCAUUAUCUGGUCAAAGAACAGUUUCAGGCGGGCAGUCUGACUGGGGCGGUCGCCUCCCAAAGGGUAACGGAGGCGCACAAAGGUUUCCUCUGAACGGGUAGAAAUCGUAUCUAGAGUGUAAAGGCAUAAGGAAGCUUGACUGUGAGACCUACAAGUCGAGCAGGGACGAAAGUCGGUCUUAGUGAUCUGACGGUGCUGAGUGGAAAGGCCGUCACUCAACGGAUAAAAGUUACUCUAGGAUAACAGGCUGAUCUCCCCCAAGAGUUCACAUCGACGGGGAGGUUUGGCACCUCGAUGUCGGCUCAUCGCAUCCUGGGGCGGUAGUACGUCCCAAGGGUUGGGCUGUUCGCCCAUGAAAGCGGUACGCGAGCUGGGUUCAGAACGUCGUGAGACAGUUCGGUCCAUAUCCGGUGUAGGCGUUAGAAUAUUGAAAGGAGCCUUCUCUAGUACGAGAGGACCGAGAAGGACAUACCUCUGGUGUGCCAGUUAUCGUGCCAACGGUAAACGCUGGGUAGCUAUGUAUGGAGUGGAUAACCGCUGAAAGCAUCUAAGUGGGAAGCCCACCUUAAGAUAAGUAUUCUCAC